AUAACGGUCCUAAGGUAGCGAAAUUCCUUGUCGGGUAAGUUCCGACCUGCACGAAUGGCGUAAUGAUGGCCAGGCUGUCUCCACCCGAGACUCAGUGAAAUUGAACUCGCUGUGAAGAUGCAGUGUACCCGCGGCAAGACGGAAAGACCCCGUGAACCUUUACUAUAGCUUGACACUGAACAUUGAGCCUUGAUGUGUAGGAUAGGUGGGAGGCUUUGAAGUGUGGACGCCAGUCUGCAUGGAGCCGACCUUGAAAUACCACCCUUUAAUGUUUGAUGUUCUAACGUUGACCCGUAAUCCGGGUUGCGGACAGUGUCUGGUGGGUAGUUUGACUGGGGCGGUCUCCUCCUAAAGAGUAACGGAGGAGCACGAAGGUUGGCUAAUCCUGGUCGGACAUCAGGAGGUUAGUGCAAUGGCAUAAGCCAGCUUGACUGCGAGCGUGACGGCGCGAGCAGGUGCGAAAGCAGGUCAUAGUGAUCCGGUGGUUCUGAAUGGAAGGGCCAUCGCUCAACGGAUAAAAGGUACUCCGGGGAUAACAGGCUGAUACCGCCCAAGAGUUCAUAUCGACGGCGGUGUUUGGCACCUCGAUGUCGGCUCAUCACAUCCUGGAGCUGAAGUAGGUCCCAAAGGUAUGGCUGUUUGCCAUUUAAAGUGGUACGCGAGCUGGGUUUAGAACGUCGUGAGACAGUUCGGUCCCUAUCUGCCGUGGGCGCUGGAGAACUGAGGGGGGCUGCUCCUAGUACGAGAGGACCGGAGUGGACGCAUCACUGGUGUUCGGGUUGUCAUGCCAAUGGCACUGCCCGGUAGCUAAAUGCGGAAGAGAUAAGUGCUGAAAGCAUCUAAGCACGAAACUUGCCCCGAGAUGAGUUCUCCCUGACCCUUUAAGGGUCCUGAAGGAACGUUGAAGACGACGACGUUGAUAGGCCGGGUGUGUAAGCGCAGCGAUGCGUUGAGCUAACCGGUACUAAUGAACCGUGAGGCUCAAACAC
rnacentral:rRNA from 1 species